UGUGAAAAUCCGAACUUGCCAGACUCGGGUAGGCAGUGUUGUUAGCUGGCUGCGUUGGGUCAGGCCAGCAGCCACAGCUACCCUGCCACUUCCUUCUGGCUGGGUUCUUCUUGUUAAUG
rnacentral:pre_miRNA from 7 species